ACUGAUUCCACAGGAUGUCGACAACGUCCCAGAAACACAAAAUUUUUGUUUCGGAGCCGAUGGGGAGGAAACUGGUGACAGAAGUACCUGGUGUGGGCCAGGCAACAGGUCGCAAGCUGUCCAACCAUGGAUGCACUCAGGCAACCAGUUUGUUGGGAGAGUACUUGACAAGGCAAGGGAAGGAGGGCUCUUUUGAAAAGUUCAUGCAAGACACCGCCAGUGCUCGACCUCAACAUGCCAAAGCAACGCAUAACGCACUGAAGGAUUGGAGUGACAAUAACAUCAUGUAAAUGAUUGGUUGGCCUUUUAGACCACAGGUGCAAGUGGAACAUUGCAAACUUCCAGCGAUGACUGCACAUUAUUUCAAACGCUACGCGUGCUAGUGGCUGAACAAGAAUGUGACAAUACUUGUAUAUAUAAAUAAAAAAAAAACUGUA